rnacentral:piRNA from 1 species
UCCCAUACCUGAAGGUAUCACCAGUG